ACAGUGCCUGGUGGGUAGUUUGACUGGGGCGGUCUCCUCCCAAAGCGUAACGGAGGAGCACGAAGGUGGGCUAAUCACGGUUGGACAUCGUGAGGUUAGUGCAAUGGCAUAAGCCCGCUUGACUGCGAGAAUGACAAUUCGAGCAGGUGCGAAAGCAGGUCAUAGUGAUCCGGUGGUUCUGAAUGGAAGGGCCAUCGCUCAACGGAUAAAAGGUACUCCGGGGAUAACAGGCUGAUACCGCCCAAGAGUUCAUAUCGACGGCGGUGUUUGGCACCUCGAUGUCGGCUCAUCACAUCCUGGGGCUGAAGUCGGUCCCAAGGGUAUGGCUGUUCGCCAUUUAAAGUGGUACGCGAGCUGGGUUUAGAACGUCGUGAGACAGUUCGGUCCCUAUCUGCCGUGGGCGUUGGAGAAUUGAAAGGGGCUGCUCCUAGUACGAGAGGACCGGAGUGGACGAACCUCUGGUGUUCGGGUUGUGUCGCCAGACGCAUUGCCCGGUAGCUAAGUUCGGGAUCGAUAACCGCUGAAAGCAUCUAAGCGGGAAGCGAGCCUUGAGAUGAGUUCUCCCUGAUACUUUAAGUAUCCUAAAGGGUUGUCGUAGACUACGACGUUGAUAGGCAGGGUGUGUAAGCGUUGUGAGGCGUUGAGCUAACCUGUACUAAUUGCCCGUGAGGCUUAACCAUACAACACCCAAGGGGUUU
rnacentral:rRNA from 1 species